GAAAUGCUAAACUAUAGUAUAUGAUUCUGGUACUUAAAGUUGCUAUAUUUUUAUGAUUAUAGAUUCUUUUGUACUCGUAAGUUUUCGAUUGUUGGAUAAAAAGAUAUACGGUUAGAAUGAUAGUGAUUUUCUAGAAUUGAGUGGAUGAUUAGUUGAAUAGUAUAAUCUAACGGAUGAAAAUGAUUAAAGAGGCAGAUCUAAUAGCCGAAAACUUAUGAGUAUAAAGAGAGCUGUAUUUAUAAGAAUAUAAUAGUCGGACUCUUGAUUCUGGAGAAAGUUUACUGUAUGACAACUCAAUCACAUUUCUCUUAUUAAAAAGAAAUAUAAUAAAAAUAUUCUUUAUUAAACAUGAUGGGACGGGUGAAUCAAAGAAUGACAAUCUUAUUAGUUAGGGAUAUCACGUCAACAAUAUAUAUAUAUAACUAGUGCAUUCUAAAUUUUUUUCUUAUUCCGAAAGCUCAAAAUCUCCAUUUUGCUUUUUAUGUUGAAAGCAAAAAUAAAAGUAGUGUGAUUGGUAUUCAAGAUUUUAAGUCAGAAAUUUAGUUGCUUCGUUUUUUAGCUAAGAAGAAAUUUAAUUUCUCAAAAAUAAAAACGUAAAAGAAAUUUUUUCGAAAAAAUAUUUUCAUAAAUUUUUCUUUUUUCAAUUUUCUGUCCAUUUGAUUU
rnacentral:lncRNA from 1 species